rnacentral:tRNA from 1 species
GGCCGACUAGCUCAGUUGGUUAGAGCGUCGUGCUAAUAUCAAUGUAUAUAACGCGAAGGUCUUGGGUUCGAUCCCCACGUUGGCCA